UUAAUAAUUUAUAUAAAAUAUUUUGAUGAAUAUUUAUAUAAUAUUAACAUAAUUCAUAUUACUAUAUAUUUUAGUAUAUGAAAUUUUACUUUGAGAAAAUUAGAGUGCUUAAAGCAGGCAUAUGCCUUGAAUACUCCAGCAUGGAAUAAUAUUAAAGAUUUUUAUCUUUCUUAUUGGUUCUAAGAUAAGAAUAAUGAUUAAUAGGGACAGUUGGGGGCAUUUGUAUUUAACAGUCAGAGGUGAAAUUCUUAGAUUUGUUAAAGACAAACUAAUGCGAAAGCAUUUGCCAAGGAUGUUUUCAUUAAUCAAGAACGAAAGUUAGGGGAUCGAAGACGAUCAGAUACCGUCGUAGUCUUAACCAUAAACUAUGCCAACUAGAGAU
rnacentral:rRNA from 1 species